GACGAACGCUGGCGGCGUGCUUAACACAUGCAAGUCGAACGGAAAGGCCCUGCUUUUGUGGGGUGCUCGAGUGGCGAACGGGUGAGUAACACGUGAGUAACCUGCCCUUGACUUUGGGAUAACUUCAGGAAACUGGGGCUAAUACCGGAUAGGAGCUCCUGCUGCAUGGUGGGGGUUGGAAAGUUUCGGCGGUUGGGGAUGGACUCGCGGCUUAUCAGCUUGUUGGUGGGGUAGUGGCUUACCAAGGCUUUGACGGGUAGCCGGCCUGAGAGGGUGACCGGCCACAAUGGGACUGGGGUACGGCCCAGACUCCUACGGGAGGCAGCAGGGGGGAAUAUUGGACAAAGGGCGGAAGCCUGAUGCAGCAACGCCGCGGGCGGGAUGACGGCCUUCGGGGUGGAAACCGCUUUCGCCUGUGACGGAGGGUGAGGGACGGUAAAGGGGAAAGGAGCACCGGCUAACUACGUG
rnacentral:rRNA from 1 species